CUGCCAUAUCACGUUGAAACACCAACUCUUGUGCGAUCACCGAAGUUAAGCAACGUUGAGACUGGUCAGUACUUAGAAGGUGACUGCUUGGGAAUAUCAGAUGCUGUAAG